UACGAAGGGGGCGAGCGUUAAUCGGAAUUACUGGGCGUAAAGGGCGCGUAGGCGGCCUGCUAAGUCGAACGUGAAAUCCCCGGGCUCAACCCGGGAACUGCGUCCGAUACUGGCAGGCUUGAAUUCGGGAGAGGGAUGUGGAAUUCCAGGUGUAGCGGUGAAAUGCGUAGAUAUCUGGAGGAACACCGGUGGCGAAGGCGGCAUCCUGGACCGAUAUUGACGCUGAUGCGCGAAAGCCAGGGGAGCAAACGGG
rnacentral:rRNA from 1 species